rnacentral:rRNA from 1 species
CCAUCAGGUCAUGCUGGGGACUCUAACAAAACUGCCCGCGUAAGCGUGGAGGAAGGUGGGGAUGACGUCAAAUCAGCACGGCCCUUACGUCCAGGGCUACACACGUGCUACAAUGGCCGGUACAGAGGGCAGCCACUUGGUGACAAGGAGCAAAUCUCAAAAGCCGGUCUCAGUUCGGAUCGGAGUCUGCAACUCGACUCCGUGAAGUUGGAUUCGCUAGUAAUCGUAGAUCAGCAAUGCUACGGUGAAUACGUUCCCGGGCCUU